rnacentral:rRNA from 1 species
GACGAACGCUGGCGGCGUGCUUAACACAUGCAAGUCGAACGGAAAGGCCCUGCUUUUGUGGGGUGCUCGAGUGGCGAACGGGUGAGUAACACGUGAGUAACCUGCCCUUGACUUUGGGAUAACUUCAGGAAACUGGGGCUAAUACCGGAUAGGAGCUCCUGCUGCAUGGUGGGGGUUGGAAAGUUUCGGCGGUUGGGGAUGGACUCGCGGCUUAUCAGCUUGUUGGUGGGGUAGUGGCUUACCAAGGCUUUGACGGGUAGCCGGCCUGAGAGGGUGACCGGCCACAUUGGGACUGAGAUACGGCCCAGACUCCUACGUGAGGCAGCAGUGGGGAAUAUUGCACAGUGAGCGGAAGCCUGAUGCAGCAACGCCGCGUGCGGAAUGACGGCCUUCGGGUUGUAAACCGCUUUCGCCUGUGACGAAGCGUGAGUGACGGUAAUGGGUAAAGAAGCACCGGCUAACUACGUG